rnacentral:rRNA from 1 species
GCAAAACGCGAAGAACCUUACCCACCUUUGACAUGUACGGAAUCCUUUAGAGAUAGAGGAGUGCUCGAAAGAGAGCCGUAACACAGGUGCUGCAUGGCUGUCGUCAGCUCGUGUCGUGAGAUGUUGGGUUAAGUCCCGCAACGAGCGCAACCCUUGCCAUUAGUUGCUACAUUUAGUUGAGCACUCUAAUGGGACUGCCGGUGACAAACCGGAGGAAGGUGGGGAUGACGUCAAGUCCUCAUGGCCCUUAUAGGUGGGGCUACACACGUCAUACAAUGGCUGGUACAAAGGGUUGCCAACCCGCGAGGGGGAGCUAAUCCCAUAAAGCCAGUCGUAGUCCGGAUCGCAGUCUGCAACUCGACUGCGUGAAGUCGGAAUCGCUAGUAAUCGUGGAUCAGAAUGUCACGGUGAAUACGUUCCCGGGUCUUGUACACACCGAGUCGU